CGGCGGACGGGUGGGUAACACGUGGAUAACCUACCUAUAAGACUGGGAUAACUUCGGGAAACCGGAGCUAAUACCGGAUAAUAUUUUGAACCGCAUGGUUCAAAAGUGAAAGACGGUCUUGCUGUCACUUAUAGAUGGAUCCGCGCUGCAUUAGCUGGUUGGUAAGGUAACGGCUUACCAAGGCAACGAUGCAUGGCCGACCUGAGAGGGUGAUCGGCCACACUGGAACUGAGACACGGUCCAG
rnacentral:rRNA from 1 species